AGAGUUUGAUCCUGGCUCAGGAUGAACGCUGGCGGCGUGCUUAACACAUGCAAGUCGAACGAUGAUCCCAGCUUGCUGGGGGAUUAGUGGCGAACGGGUGAGUAACACGUGAGUAACCUGCCCUUAACUCUGGGAUAAGCCUGGGAAACUGGGUCUAAUACCGGAUAUGACUCCUCAUCGCAUGGUGGGGGGUGGAAAGCUUUAUUGUGGUUUUGGAUGGACUCGCGGCCUAUCAGCUUGUUGGUGAGGUAAUGGCUCACCAAGGCGACGACGGGUAGCCGGCCUGAGAGGGUGACCGGCCACACUGGGACUGAGACACGGCCCAGACUCCUACGGGAGGCAGCAGUGGGGAAUAUUGCACAAUGGGCGAAAGCCUGAUGCAGCGACGCCGCGUGAGGGAUGACGGCCUUCGGGUUGUAAACCUCUUUCAGUAGGGAAGAAGCGAAAGUGACGGUACCUGCAGAAGAAGCGCCGGCUAACUACGUGCCAGCAGCCGCGGUAAUACGUAGGGCGCAAGCGUUAUCCGGAAUUAUUGGGCGUAAAGAGCUCGUAGGCGGUUUGUCGCGUCUGCCGUGAAAGUCCGGGGCUCAACUCCGGAUCUGCGGUGGGUACGGGCAGACUAGAGUGAUGUAGGGGAGACUGGAAUUCCUGGUGUAGCGGUGAAAUGCGCAGAUAUCAGGAGGAACACCGAUGGCGAAGGCAGGUCUCUGGGCAUUAACUGACGCUGAGGAGCGAAAGCAUGGGGAGCGAACAGGAUUAGANACCCCCGUAGUCC
rnacentral:rRNA from 1 species